rnacentral:rRNA from 1 species
GAUGAACGCUGGCGGUAUGCCUAACACAUGCAAGUCGUACGAGAGUUUUUAACUCUAGUGGCGGACGGGUGAGUAACACGUGAGAAUUUGCCUUUAGGAGGGGGAUAACAAUUGGAAACGAAUGCUAAUACCCCACUAUGCUUUUGUAGUGAAAUGGAUUUUAUUCCGCCUAGAGAGAAGCUCGCGGCUGAUUAGCUUGUUGGUAAGGUAAGAGCUUACCAAGGCGACGAUCAGUAUCUGGUUUGUAGAGGACGAUCAGACACACUGGAACUGAGACACGGUCCAGACUCCUACGGGAGGGCAGCAGUUGGGGG